rnacentral:lncRNA from 1 species
UGGAUAUUAUUAUUAAUUUAUUAUUUAUAAUUAAAUAAUAAUAAUUAUUAUUAUUUAUUAAUAAAUAUUAAUAUUAAUUAUUAUUAAUAAUUAGAUAAUCAAUAUUAUUAUUAAUUUAUUAUUUAUAAUUAAUUAAUAAGAAUAAUUAAUAAUUAUUAUUAUUUAUUAAUAAUUAAUAAUAAUUAUUAUUAUUAUUAAUUAGAUCAUCCAUAUUAUUAAUUUAUUAUUUAUAAUUAAUUAUUAAUAAUAAUUAUUAUUUAUAAUUAAUUAUUAAUAAUUAAUUUCUUAUUUAUUUUUAAGUAAUAUUUUUAUUACUAUUAAUUACAUAAUAUAAUUUUAAUUUCAAAUUAUAACUCUUAUUCCUCUUGUUCCAAUCUAACCAUCCAAACACUAUUUACCUUAUUCCUAGGAACAACUCAAUUUUAAUCCAAACGCAAAAUUGGUCUAGUUCCUGUUUAUACCUGAACUUGUACCUAUCCCUAGAACUAGCAGUUCUUACUUAUACCUGAACCAAACGCACUAGGGAUACUACACUAACA